GUUCCUACGGGACGCAGCAGUGAGGAAUAUUGGUCAAUGGCCGGGAGGCUGAACCAGCCAAGUCGCGUGAGGGAAGACGGCCCUACGGGUUGUAAACCUCUUUUGUCAGGGAGCAAGGUGCAGGUCGGGACCUGCUGUGAGAGUACCUGAAGAAAAAGCAUCGGCUAACUCCGUGCCAGCAGCCGCGGUAAUACGGAGGAUGCGAGCGUUAUCCGGAUUUAUUGGGUUUAAAGGGUGCGCAGGCGGCACGGCAAGCCGGCGGUCAAAUCGCGGGGCUCAACCCCGCCCAGCCGUCGGAACUGCCG
rnacentral:rRNA from 1 species